UUUUAGACUUCCCAGGGAGCUUGAGGGACAAAUUGGUGAGGCCCCACCAGCAGCACCACUUUGUGGAUCCCUGGACAGAACCGCUAGUGAAGCAAAUACCUUUGAGGAAAGUGAAAGGGAAACAGGACGAGGAGAACCCUUUCCACCCCACCAGCAAGCUGUCCGUCACCGACUGCUCCCUAGUCAGACUGAGCUUGAGCGGUGAUGUGGUUUGCUGAUGCUUGGCAAAAUGCCCUUCCUGGUUGGGGCCCCCCUUCCCUGGUGGUCACAAGGGACUGGACUUUACCAGGGAGUGAGGUUAGACUCCAGCAUGACUGGAGGCUCCUUAUCUGGCCCCUACCGGGGAUCUUGGGGCAGCUCCGGGCUGCCCUCACCAUGUAACUGGCGACAGCAGUGACUCAGCUGGAAAGGAAGAAGGAGCUGGUGUCAUCAGCUGUUGUUAGGAAAGAAUGGAGGAGCCUGGGGGAAACUCUCCAGUCCUGAGAGGACGGGAGGCAUGAGUGAUCAGGGUAGAACAGACACUUAUGCCAAAGAAUUCCAGAGAAGCAGAUCCUGAUGAGAUGCCACAGUCCUCAGCAGGCUGUGAAGCAAGAAGAGCUGGGACAUGAACUAACCUGUCCUUGUCCUGGAAGGCAGCCAGAGCUGAGCUCACAUAUUGGUCACACAGAAGAUCAGCUGGCCUCCUGGAGUCUCAGGACACUGGACCAAAG